GACGAACGCUGGCGGCGUGCUUAACACAAGCAAGUCGAACGGUAAGGCCCUUCGGGGUACACGAGUGGCGAACGGGUGAGUAACACGUGGGUGAUCUGCCCUGCACUUCGGGAUAAGCCUGGGAAACUGGGUCUAAUACCGGAUAGGACCCUGGGAUGCAUGUCCUGGGGUGGAAAGCUUUUGCGGUGUGGGAUGGGCCCGCGGCCUAUCAGCUUGUUGGUGGGGGGAUGGCCUACCAAGGCGACGACGGGUAGCCGGCCUGAGAGGGUGACCGGCCACACUGGGACUGAGAUACGGCCCCGACUCCUACGGGAGGCAGCAGUGGGGAAUAUUGCACAAUGGGCGCAAGCCUGAUGCAGCGACGCCGCGUGAGGGAUGACGGCCUUCGGGUUGUAAACCUCUUUCAGCACCGACGAAGCGCAAGUGACGGUAGGUGCAGAAGAAGGACCGGCCAACUACGUGCCAGCCGCCGCGGUAA
rnacentral:rRNA from 1 species